AUUGAACGCUGGCGGCAUGCCUAACACAUGCAAGUCGAACGGCAGCACGAUUUAGUUUACUAGAUUGGUGGCGAGUGGCGCACGGGUGAGUAAUGCGUAGGAAUAUACCUUAAAGUGGGGGACAACCUGGGGAAACUCAGGCUAAUACCGCAUGAGCUCUAAGGAGGAAAGCUGGGGACCAGAGAUGGCCUGGCGCUUUAAGAAUAGCCUACGUCCGAUUAGCUAGUUGGUGAGGUAAAGGCUUACCAAGGCUACGAUCGGUAGCUGGUCUGAGAGAAUGAUCAGCCACACUGGGACUGAGACACGGCCCAGACUCCUACGGGAGGCAGCAGUGGGGAAUAUUGGACAAUGGGGGCAACCCUGAUCCAGCGAUGCCGCGUGUGUGAAGAAGGCCUGCGGGUUGUAAAGCACUUUCGGUGGGGAGGAGGGCUAUUAGGUUAAGAGCUAGAUAGUUGGACGUUACCCAAAGAAGCAGCACCGGCUAACUCCGUGCCAGCAGCCGCAGUAA
rnacentral:rRNA from 1 species